rnacentral:rRNA from 1 species
UGGGGAAUUUUGCGCAAUGGGGGAAACCCUGACGCAGCAACGCCGCGUGGGUGAUGAAGGCCUUCGGGUCGUAAAGCUCUGUCUGGAGGGAAGAAAUGAUUGGGAGCUAAUACCUCCUGAUCUUGACGGUACCUCUGAAGGAAGCACCGGCUAACUCCGUG